AGUGAACGCUGGCGGUAGGCCUAACACAUGCAAGUCGAACGGCAGCACAGGACAGCUUGCUCUCUGGGUGGCGAGUGGCGGACGGGUGAGGAAUACAUCGGAAUCUACUCUGUCGUGGGGGAUAACGUAGGGAAACUUACGCUAAUACCGCAUACGACCUACGGGUGAAAGCAGGGGACCUUCGGGCCUUGCGCGAUUGAAUGAGCCGAUGUCGGAUUAGCUAGUUGGCGGGGUAAAGGCCCACCAAGGCGACGAUCCGUAGCUGGUCUGAGAGGAUGAUCAGCCACACUGGAACUGAGACACGGUCCAGACUCCUACGGGAGGCAGCAGUGGGGAAUAUUGGACAAUGGGCGCAAGCCUGAUCCAGCCAUACCGCGUGGGUGAAGAAGGCCUUCGGGUUGUAAAGCCCUUUUGUUGGAAAGAAAUCCAGCUGGCUAAUACCCGGUUGGGAUGACGGUACCCAAAGAAUAAGCACCGGCUAACUUCGUGCCAGCCGCCGCGGUAA
rnacentral:rRNA from 1 species